AUUAGUAGACUCAGUUGAUAUACGGUGCCAAAUUCCCAAGAAUAAAACAGACUUUUGAAGCAAAGAUGCAAUUGGGCCAAUUCCAUCGUACCCCUAAAUGGUUUGAUCUGAGCCCAAUAAAAGCCCAAACAUUUUAAUUAAAUUUCUAUGGUAUCAAUUUAAUGAAGGUGGAAUUGCCACGUAGGUGCGGCUGUUAACAUGAACAAAAACAUAGGACUUAUUAACUUCUUCUUCAUAAAGUCAUCAGUUUUCUGAAUUGUUUGGCGAAAUAUGCAAAUGGCUUUGAGAGUGGCAGCGCGUCCUGUUGUAAGACGAGCCAACAUAGCUCUGCUCUCACUUCCUCCUCAUUAUCUCACAACCAAAUCCCACGUUUUUGCUUCAAAAUUUCUACCCAAUUCAACCCCUCCUCUGCUGAAUCAAAAUGGACCAAGAUAUUCGAUUAGAGCAAUCAGUGAAACAAAUGUGGAUCCUGUCGCACAAAAGAAGGAUAAUGAAGGCCACGAAAACUGGAAAAUUAAGAUGCUUUACGAUGGAGACUGUCCCUUAUGCAUGCGUGAGGUUGACAUGUUAAAAGAGAGGAACAAAGGUUAUGGAACAAUCAAAUUUGUGGACAUUAGUUCUGAUGAAUACAGCCCAGAGGAGAAUGAAGGCCUUGAUUAUAAGACGGUUAUGGGAACAAUACAUGCAAUACUAUCAGAUGGAACUGUGGUUACAAAUGUUGAGGCAUUUAGACGACUCUAUGAAGCAGUUGGGUUAGGAUGGGUGUAUGCCAUUACAAAAUAUGAACCUAUUGCAACUAUUGCUGAUACUGUGUAUGGAGUCUGGGCAAAGUAUCGUCUUCAGAUAACAGGUCGACCACCUUUAGAAGAAGUUAUAUUGGCACGAAAGAAUAAGGAGGAAAUGUGCAAGGACAAUAAGGCUUGCAAAAUUUAGGAGUUUCAGAAUGUUGGAACCAUCGGAAGAGGAUUCUCCUCCUUGUUAUUGAGAAAAUCCUACAUACCUCGUCAUGGAUUCAGAGGACUUCUAUAAGGAAAAAUAAUGAAAUAAGGCAACAUGUAUGAUUUCUCCAAGUUAGACAAUUCAGCCAACAUGUGUGAUGAGAACAUCACUUGAGAAGGCAUAGAAGCAGUUUGUAAGUGUUAAGAGUGGCAUUGGAAAGAACUUUAAGUAGUGCUAGUUGAGGACAUAAGAAAAGGAGAGAAAACUAGUACAAACUAAACAAAAAAAACUAAGUUGAUUACAUGAAUACAAAGAAGAUAUAGGAUAUCCUAAUGGUGAGAAUUUUUUACACUUCGAGCUCAACUAGUAACCUUAAACGAGGUGCUCAAUGAAAAUUCAUUUUCCUUGUAUGUAGCUUGAAAAAUAAGAAAACCAGCAUAGAUACUACAACAAAUUAUUGAGAGAGAGAGAGGCAUACACUAGCAUCGAGUAAUUUCUAGUUUACCUUUACGUGUUGUAGUAGGUAACUUGUCUUAUUUUUAAGAUUAACAUUUUAAGAAGGCUUUACCUGCAGAUAUCCAUUGAAUGACCUGAUAGUAUAAAAAAUUCUUUAUACUGAUGGUGUUUAUAGCUUAAACUCUUUCCAUAUUA